CCUACGGGAGGCAGCAGUGGGGAAUAUUGGGCAAUGGAGGAAACUCUGACCCAGCGACGCCGCGUGCGGGAUGAAGGCCUUCGGGUUGUAAACCGCUUUCAGUAGGGAAGAAGCGAAAGUGACGGUACCUACAAAAGAAGCACCGGCUAACUAUGUGCCAGCAGCCGCGGUAAUACAUAGGGUGCAAGCGUUGUCCGGAAUUAUUGGGCGUAAAGAGCUCGUAGGUCGUUUGUUACGUCGGAUGUGAAAACCUGAGGCUCAACCUCAGGCCUGCAUUCGAUACGGGCAAACUAGAGUUUGGUAGGGAGACUGGAAUUCCUGGUGUAGCGGUGGAAUGCGCAGAUAUCAGGAGGAACACCAAUGGCGAAGGCAGGUCUCUGGGCCAAUACUGACACUGAGGAGCGAAAGUCUGGGGAGCGAACAGGAUUAGAUACCCUGGUAGUCCAGACCGUAAACGGUGGGCACUAGUUGUGGGAACCUUCCACGGUUUCUGCGACGCAGCUAACGCAUUAAGUGCCCGCCUGGGGAGUACGAUCGCAAGAUUAAAACUANAAAGAAUGAACGNNGAGAGUGCGAGACGACACGAGGAGAG
rnacentral:rRNA from 1 species